GACCGCAUAUUUUGUAAAAGCCAAAUGAACAUAUAAUACAAUGUGGGCGCUGUGCUGUAUACUUUGUGUUGAUUUGUGUUAUGAAAUUUUAUACAAGAAACAUAUUGUACUUAUAGCGAUUAUUAUGUCAAGGCUUUUGCCGCUGACCAGGAAGUUAAUAGGCGCGUCCCCGAUCAUCGCCCGGGUUAUAGCAUUCCCCCCAGAAAAUGGAUGCGAUACGUAUAUCUGUGGUUUUAUAUGCCAGAAAAUGGAUGCGAUACAUAUAUCCCUUUGAUAUUUGAAACAUUAUGUAGAAACUAGAGAGUCAACAAAAAACGAUGUACGUGUUGUUUGAGUUUGUCGUCAAAAGCAGUUAAGCAUCUGAAUUAAGAAACUACAACCAUGCUUUGAGAGUGUAUAAUGAAAGAUGUUUGCAAGCAGAAUACAGGAAAUGGAUAGGCAUUAUGACCAAGUUGUGCUAAGCUUUAAGUGCUACCCAUUCAAGUUUACUUCUUCUAAAUACAACACAAUCAUUGAAGCACUUAUGACUGUUUGCCUGUUUCCUUGGAAAUUUAUUUAAUGUUGAGAUGGUAAAUGUAGCCAUUUGUGUGAUAUUGUGCCAAGAGUUUUGGCAUGGACAAACAAAAUAGUUGGCAAGGGCAGCAGAAAAGUCCAAAUUUAAACACCUGUAAUGAAAAAACUGAAAGCAUUUGUUGCAUCCAAGCCAAUCUUCACCAUCAUUGUCUUUGCAUAUUUUGCAAACACCAGUAUUUCCUCUACAGCAAAACAAACAAAGGAAUUUAAAAUGAAUUUAAGUUUCUCAUGCACUAUAUAAUGCAUUAAAGACUGGUUAAAACAUACUCAUGAUUGUCAUCAUAGCAAGAGCUGAAUAUGGGUGAUAUUAAUUUCUCUUUCUCUAAUUCCAUUUUAAAAUUUCUGUUUAAUCUUGAAUUUUCACAAAUACACCUUGGAAACUGUGGAAAAGAAAUUGUUCAAAUUGUAGAAUACCGAGACAAUAACAGAAACAAUUCCAGUUCGAGACUGACUUUAUUAACGUUAGUAGCAAUAUUUAUAAUGUAAGACAUUAGGCGUUAACUAUGACUAAAGGAAGCAUUUUAUAUAAAAUAUGUAUAUAUAAUAUGUAAUAUGUAUAUGUACAACGUAAUGGAAGGUUGUAUUGGACAGGAAGAUUAUUUAAAGCGUAUGUUAUUUUUGACAGCUCAAAGAGAACUAUUUUACACAGCUGUUUUGAACAGAUGUUCGCCGCAAAAUUAACCUACAUAAAUAACCAGCAAUAAAUAUUUUUAUAUAUUUA